CGGGACGGGUGAGUAAUGUCUGGGAAACUGCCUGAUGGAGGGGGGUAACUACUGGAAACGGUAGCUAAUACCGCAUAACGUCGCAAGACCAAGAGGGGGACCGUUCGGGCCUCUUGCCAUCGGAUGUGCCCAGAUGGGAUUAGCUAGUAGGUGGGGUAACGGCUCACCUAGGCGACGAUCCCUAGCUGGUCUGAGAGGAUGACCAGCCACACUGGAACUGAGACACGGUCCAG
rnacentral:rRNA from 1 species